CGGAGCAGUUGAGCCGGGCCUUGAGGAAGGAGGUCCAAUACUUCUCCAGGACCCUCGGCGAGCCCCCCAUGUCGUUCUUGCAGACCCGGCCCACGCGGGAGAAGACCACCUGAGGGUGCGGGACAACACGGCGGAUUCAGAACACUCACCCGUCCCAGCGUGGUGUACUCCAUGGAGAUCUCGCGGAAGAAGAGGUAGACGUAAUCGCCGUACUCCAGAGCAUGUACAAAGUGAGGCUCUGGGUUCAAAAGAAGGGAGAGAAAAAAAUGUGAAUUUCUUUUGGAUGCUCCUGGCUUUGAUAUCCGCUCCAAAAGCCAUCUAGACUACAUUCUGGUUUGCAUCGCCUAUUGGAAUCGCAUUGGCCUUUGUUGCUGCCGCAUCGCCAAAUUGGCUUACGUUUUUUUUUCUAGCUCAAUCUCACCUCGGAGCCAUUUAGAAUCGUAUUUGACCGUCCGAAGCACGGGACUCCGCUCUCCCAAACUCCGGUAGAUCACGGCGUCGCUGGCUUGGAAAUCGGCCACCGUUGCGGAGUAGAGAUUCCCGUCUGAGAAGGAAAAAUAGACAAAUAAUAACUAAAGACAGCUGUCUAUUCUGAACAAUAUCUGAAAAAUGUGCACCACGAUAAAGGUUCAAACCAUAGAACACAAUAUGUAUAUUAGAGCAUCAUAUACAUCAGGGGUCCCCAAACUAAGGCCCGGGGGCCGGAUGUGGCCCAUCGAAGCCAUUUAUCCGGCCCCCAUGGCACAAGGGCAUAAGGGGGUUGGACUAAAUGACCCAAGGGGUCUCUUUUUCUUUUACAACCCUUAUUAUUAUUAAUUAUUAUUAUUAUUAUUAACAACAACAUUAAGGCUGGGUGGCCAACUGUCAGGGGUGCUUUGCUUGUGCUUUUGGUGCACAGAGGCAGACGAGGGUUGGACUUAAUGGCCCAAGGGAUCUCUUCCAACCCUCUUUUUAUUAUUAUUAUUAUUAUUAUUAUUAUUAUUAUUAUUAUUAUUAUUAUUAUUAUUACUAGCUGUGCCCGGCCAUGCGUUGCUGUGGCAAAGUGGUGGUGGUAUUGGUUAAAAAUUGUUGUGUAAUUUUUAUUUGACGUUAUUUGUAUUUUUUAAUUAAUUUUAUUGUAAGUUAUCUUUUUAUUUAUUAUAUUUUAUUAUUUUCUUGUAUUAUUUUUAGUUAUUUUCUCUCAUUAUAGUAUUUUAUUGUAUUAAUCUUUUAGUGUUUUUAAUUAUUUUUUAGUGUUUUUAAUUAUUUUUUAUUGGGUUGCUAGGAGACCAAGUUGGAGGAGCUUAGCCCUCUAACUGGCAGCAAUUGGAGAAAAGCAAUUAUUCCUCUCCCUCUAAUUACGACUUUAUUUUUCUUUUCUUUUUGUUGUAUCAACCUAGAGGCGUGGAUGAUGGGUUGUGUUGUCAAAUUUCGAGGUUGGGGGGCCUGUAGUUUUGUUGUUUUGUCGGUCGCCGUGAUGCCAUCACUCUUUUAUAUAUAUAGAUUAUUAACAUUGAUGCUGGGUGGCCAUCAGUCAGGGGUGCUUUGCUUGUGCUUUCGGUGCACAAAGGCAGAAGGGGAUUGGACUCAAUGGCCCAAAGGGUCUCUUCCAACCCUUAUUUAUUUAUUUAUUAUUAUUAUUAACAUUGAGGCUGGGUGGCCAUCUGUCAGGGGUGCUUUGCUUGUGUUUUUGGUGCACAAAGGCAGAAGGGGAUUGGACUCAAUGGCCCAAAGGGUCUCUUCCAACCCUUAUUUAUUUAUUUAUUAUUAUUAUUAACAUUGAGGCUGGGUGGCCAUCUGUCAGGGGUGCUUUGCUUGUGUUUUUGGUGCACAAAGGCAGAAGGGGAUUGGACUCAAUGGCCCAAAGGGUCUCUUCCAACCCUUAUUUAUUUAUUUAUUAUUAUUAUUAACAUUGAGGCUGGGUGGCCAUCUGUCAGGGGUGCUUUGCUUGUGUUUUUGGUGCACAAAGGCAGAAGGGGAUUGGACUCAAUGGCCCAAAGGGUCUCUUCCAACCCUUAUUUAUUUAUUUAUUAUUAUUAUUAACAUUGAGGCUGGGUGGCCAUCUGUCAGGGGUGCUUUGCUUGUGUUUUUGGUGCACAAAGGCAGAAGGGGAUUGGACUCAAUGGCCCAAAGGGUCUCUUCCAACCCUUAUUUAUUUAUUUAUUAUUAUUAUUAACAUUGAUGCUGGGUGGCCAUCAGUCAGGGGUGCUUUGCUUGUGUUUUUGGUGCACAAAGGCAGAAGGGGAUUGGACUCAAUGGCCCAAAGGGUCUCUUCCAAACCUUUUUUAUUAUUAUUGCUAUUAUUAUUAUUAUUAUUAUUAUUAUUAUUAUUAUUAUUAUUAACAUUGAGGCUGGGUGGCCAUCAGUCAGGGGUGCUUUGCUUGUGCUUUCGGUGCACAAAGGCAGAAGGGGAUUGGACUCAAUGGCCCAAAGGGUCUCUUCCAACCCUUAUUUAUUUAUUUAUUAUUAUUAUUAACAUUGAGGCUGGGUGGCCAUCUGUCAGGGGUGCUUUGCUUGUGUUUUUGGUGCACAAAGGCAGAAGGGGAUUGGACUCAAUGGCCCAAAGGGUCUCUUCCAAACCUUUUUUAUUAUUAUUGCUAUUAUUAUUAUUAUUAUUAUUAUUAUUAUUAUUAUUAUUAUUAUUAACAUUGAGGCUGGGUGGCCAUCUGUCAGGGGUGCUUUGCUUGUGCUUUCGGUGCACAAAGGCAGAAGGGGAUUGGACUCAAUAGCCCAAAGGGUCUCUUCCAACCCUUUUUUAUUAUUAUUGCUGUUAUUAUUAUUAUUUAUUUAUUUUUAUUAUUAUUAAUUAUUGCUCGGUGGCCAACUAUAGUCCGGCCCUCCAACAGUCCAAAGGAUUGUGAACUGGCCCCCUGUUUAAAAAGUUUGGGGACCCCUGAUAUACAUAAUAAUGUUAACAAUAAUACAAAUAAUAAUACAACUGAUAACCGAAUUCUGUCAGCUGUAGUGGCACACAGUUGCAACUUACAAAGAUUUAUAGACUGCAAUCAUCCAGAUUUAAAUGCUACAAGAGCAGUUUUCAGUAUAAAACAUAUAUCAGACAUGUAUCAACAAGACUCCAACUAAAGUUUGUUAGCGACACAGUAUGUGUACAUCCAGUCUCUCCAAAUGCAUGUAAUAUGCUGUAAAACUCAAUGUAUCAGUGUGCAAAUCAAUUGGCUCAAACUUGGCUUGGAGUCAAAACAAAUCAAAGUCUCUGUAGUCUUGGAGCAAUUCUGUAGGACUCCUCGGGAUGUAAAUGCAGUCAAUAGGCUGUAGCUUCAGUUUGUUGACAAUAAAUGGUCAAAUAGAUGUUAUUUAGAGUAGCUGGCUGUGAGCUGAAGUAAGCUGUUUACAAGCUGUUUACAUAAGCCGUUUACUACUGGUUCCCAGGUUUACUCCAGUUUCAGUUAACCCAUCAUCUGGUAAGCGGCAAUGUUUUGAAUAUCUGUAUUGUUGGCUCAGCUUCAAGUUUUCUUAAAGAGAUAAAAGGAAAAUGGUCUAA